UACGUAGGUGGCAAGCGUUGUCCGGAUUUACUGGGUGUAAAGGGUGCGCAGGCGGAUAGACAAGUCAGGUGUGAAAUUUAUGGGCUUAACCCAUAAACUGCACUUGAAACUGUUUAUCUUGAGUACAGGAGAGGUAAGCGGAAUUCCCGGUGUAGCGGUGAAAUGCGUAGAGAUCGGGAGGAACACCAGUGGCGAAGGCGGCUUACUGGACUGUAACUGACGCUGAGGCACGAAAGUGUGGGGAGCAAACAGG
rnacentral:rRNA from 1 species